rnacentral:rRNA from 1 species
ACCCUACGGGAGGCAGCAGUGGGGGAUAUUGCACAAUGGGGGGAACCCUGAUGCAGCGACGCCGCGUGGGUGAAGGAGCGUUUCGGCGCGUAAAGCCCUAUCGGCAGGGAAGAAGGAGGACGGUACCUGACUAAGAAGCCCCGGCUAACUACGUGCCAGCAGCCGCGGUAAUACGUAGGGGGCAAGCGUUAUCCGGAUUUACUGGGUAUAAAGGGAGCGUAGACGGCAGGGCAAGUCUGGAGUGAAAGCCCGGGGCCCAACCCCGGGAAUGCUUUGGAAACUG